rnacentral:rRNA from 1 species
UACGGAGGAUCCGAGCGUUAUCCGGAUUUAUUGGGCUUAAAGGGUGCGUAGGCGGCUUGUUAAGUCAGGGGUGAAAGACGGUAGCUCAACUAUCGCAGUGCCCUUGAUACUGAUGAGCUUGAAUGUACUAGAGGUAGGCGGAAUGUGACAAGUAGCGGCGAAAUGCAUAGAUAUGUCACAGAACACCAAUUGCGAAGGCAGCUUACUAUGGUAUGAUUGACGCUGAGGCACGAAAGCGUGGGGAGCAAACAGG